rnacentral:rRNA from 1 species
AGUGAACGCUGGCGGCAUGCCUAACACAUGCAAGUCGAACGGCAGCACAGUAAGAGUUUGCUCUUACGGGUGGCGAGUGGCGGACGGGUGAGGCAUACAUCGGAAUCUACUUUUUCUUGGGGGAUAACGUAGGGAAACUUACGCUAAUACCGCAUAUGACUUACCGCUGAAUGCAGGGGAUCUUCGGACUUUGCGUGUUUGAAUGAGCCGAUGUCGGAUUAGCUAGUUGGCGGGGUAAAGGCCCACCAAGGCGACGAUCCGUAGCUGGUCUGAGAGGAUGAUCGGCCACACUGGAACUGAGACACGGUCCAGACUCCUACGGGAGGCAGCAGUGGGGAAUAUUGGACAAUGGGCGAAAGCCUGAACCAGCCAUACCGCGUGGGUGAAGAAGGCCUUCGGGUUGUAAAGCCCUGUUGUUGGGAAAGAAAAGCAGCAGGUUAAUACCCGGCUGUUCUGACGGUACCCAAAGAAUAAGCACCGGCUAACUUCGUG